rnacentral:lncRNA from 1 species
GAAAGCCUGUGCCAGUGGGAUGGAGGAUCUGUGCUAGCAGGCUGAGGGAUCUGCACUGGAGCCAGGAAGCGAUGCUCAAAAGUGAUCUGUGCUGUCUGGGCCUGCCUUGCAGUUGAACCUGGAUUUGAAACUGACAACUAUGAACGAAUAGGAAAAUGUUGCAGCAGGAGCUGCCACGUCUGAAGAAAAUUCAAAGAAAGGUCUAUUCGGGCAGUGGUGGCUUUUCAUGGAUUUACUGAACCAACGAAGGACCCACUUCCAAGAGGGCUGUUAUGCUUUCCAUGGAUUUAUAAGAAAUGCCUGCCUGUGUGACUGUGCCAAAGUAAACUUGGGAUUUCUCGCUACCGGAAACAUUCCGGAGGAUGAGGCUCUGCAAGUCCGGAAGUAAGGAGAAAAGAUGGAGCAGACAAUGCUCACUGCUGGCCAUUAGAUGAAAGACAAAUGGUGAUACAUAAGUGCAAGACAAAGAAAUGAGAAGGUUGAAUUGAAUCAGGCAAGUACAAUUAUGAAUUUAUGGAUUUCUAAGAUGUAACAUAUAUAUAUAUGUGUGUGUGCAGG